AUUCGGGGAGACAGUGGUGCAUGGUUGUCGUCAGCUCGUGUCGUGAGAUGUUGGUUAAGUCCCGCAACGAGCGCAACCCUAUUGCUAGUUACCAUCAUUAAGUUGGGGACUCUAGCGAGACUGCCAGUGAUAAACUGGAGGAAGGUGGGGAUGACGUCAAAUCAUCAUGCCCCUUAUGACCUGGGCUACAAACGUGAUACAAUGGCUGGAACAAAGGGAUGCGAAGCAGUGAUGUGGAGCGAAACCCAUAAAAACAGUCUCAGUUCGGAUUGAAGUCUGCAACUCGACUUCAUGAAGUCGGAAUCGCUAGUAAUCGCGGAUCAGAACGCCGCGGUGAAUACGUUCUCGGGGUUU
rnacentral:rRNA from 1 species